GACGAACGCUGGCGGCGUGCUUAACACAUGCCAGUCGAACGGUGAAGCGCCUUCCUUUUUGGUGGGUGUGGAUGAGUGGCCAACGGGUGAGUAACACGUUAGUAACCUGCUCACUCCUUCUGGAUAACCGCAUGAAAGUGUUGCUAAUACGGGAUAUUCUGGGUCUGUCGCAUGAUGGGUCUGGGACAGAUUUUGUUUCGGUGGGGGAUGGGGUCGCGGCCUAUCAGCUUGUUGGUGGGGUGAUGGCCUACCAAGGCGAUGAGGGGUAGCCGGCCUGAGAGGGUGGGCGACCCUGCAGGGACGGAACGGCGGAGACGACUACUAGAGGCAGCAGUAGGGAGGAUUACGGCAUGGGGGGAGGAAGGCUGGUGCAGCGCCGCGGGAGUGAGGAUGGUGUCCGUCGGGUUGUGAACUGCUAUCGGGGGUGAAGCAGGGCUGCCUCGACUGUGGGUGGGUUGACGGUAGCUGGAUAGAAAGCGCCGGCUAACUACGUG
rnacentral:rRNA from 1 species